UACUACCUGCUAUGCAGGUAGUUCUGAAAAGCUUUUAGCGAUGAGUAUGACAUAAAAACCUCCUUUUGUUACAAUAGAAUUGGUUUCGCCAGCCAAUCUAAAAACAAAAGG
rnacentral:sRNA from 1 species